rnacentral:rRNA from 1 species
AGUGAACGCUGGCGGUAGGCCUAACACAUGCAAGUCGAACGGCAGCACAGUAAGAGCUUGCUCUUACGGGUGGCGAGUGGCGAACGGUUGAGGAAUACAUCGGAAUCUACUUUUUCGUGGGGGAUAACGUAGGGUAACUUACGCUAAUACCGCAUACGACCUACGGGUGAAAGCAGGGGAUCUUCGGACCUUUCGCGAUUGAAUGAGCCGAUGUCGGCUUAGCUAGUUGGCGGGGUAAAGGCCCACCAAGGCGACGAUCCGUAGCUGGUCUGAGAGGAAGAUGAGCGAGAGUGGAAAAGAGACAGGGUACAGACUCCUAAGGGAGGAAGCAGUGGGGAAUAUUGGACAAUGGGGGAAAGCGUGAUACAGCAAUAGGGCGUGGGGGAAGAAGGAGUUAGGGUUGGAAAGACCUUUUGUUGGGAAAGAAAAGCAGCAGGUUAAGACGCGGCUGUUCUGACGGUACCCAAAGAAUAAGCACCGGCUAACUUCGUG